ensembl:lncRNA
AGACAUUGGGACCUGCUGGGGAAACCCUAUAAUAAGCAGAGAUUGGGAACUGUUAGAGACCCUACAAUAAACAUCAGGACCUGCUGGGGAGACCCUACAAUAAACAAAGAGUGGGACCUGUAGGGUCUCCCUGCAAUAAAUGAUGGGAUGUGUUAAGGGAGACCCUACAAUAAACACCAGGACUUGUGGGAGACCCUACAAUAAAAACAGACCAGGAUCUGCUGCAGAGACCCUACAAUAAACACUAAGAUGGAUUUUGGGAGACCCUACAAUAAACAAAGAUUGGAACCUGCAGAGGAGACCCUACAAUAAACAUUGGGAUCUGCUGGGGAGACCCUAAAGUAAACAUUAGGACUUGUUGUGGGAGACCCUACAAUAAACACUGGGAUGUUAUGGGAGACCCUACAAUAAACAGAGAUUGGGACCUGCAGAGGAGACCCUACAAUAAACACUGGGAUCUGCUGGGGAAACCCUACAAUAAACACCGAGACACGUUUUGGGAGACCCUACAAUAAACACUAGGAUGUUAUGGGAGACCCUACAAUAAACACUAAGAUGGAUUUUGGGAGACCCUACAAUAAACACUAAGGCUGACCCUACGGUUCUGGUGGUUCCUGGGGGGGGGGACAAGGAGCGGGUGGCCCUGGUGGGGACCUUAAGGACCUGGUGACACUCGGGGAGGUGACAGGGACCCCAUGGUGCCAGCUGGUGGCACUUGGGAUGGGGACCUGGUGGGGACUUUGGGGACCUGGUGGCACUUGGGGAGGGGACAAGGCGCUGGUGUCCCCUACAGGGACCUGCUGGCUGCGGUGGGGACAUCGGGGACCUGGUGGCACUCGGGGUGGUGACACGGACCUGAUGGCAGUGGUGACACACAGGGAGGUGACAGGGAGCUGGUGGCCCUGGUGGGAACCACAGGGGUCCAGUGGCACUUGGGGUGGUGACAGGGACCCGAUGGCUCUGGUGGCACUUGAGAUGGGGACCUGGUGGCACUCGGGGUGGUGACAGGGACGUUGGUGGCUCUGGUGGCACUUGGGGAGGGGACAAGAAGCCGGUGGCCCUGGUGAGGACCGUAGGGGUCUG